CCCCUCUCGGGGUCGCACCUGGAGAGUUUCCAGUCCUCUACCAGUCUCGACUACAGGAGGGAGAGGCAAGCAGAGGCCUACCCAUUCCACUCCUGUCUUGGCCCGUGGCUAGUGAGUGGAAGGCAACCUGCUACAGGU